AAGCGAUGGGGUGACGCAGGAAGGUAGCUGGGCCAGUCAGUGGUUGUACUGGUGUAAGAGUGUAGGCCGUGACAUAGGCAAAUCCGUGUCACAUUAAGGCUGAGACUUGAUGCAUACCCGUUGUGGGGAAUUCAGUGAUCCUAUGCUGCCGAGAAAAGCCUCUAGUGAGUUCAUACACGGCCCGUACCCCAAACCGACACAGGUGAUCAGGUAGAGAAUACCAAGGCGAUCGAGAGAACUGUGGUUAAGGAACUCGGCAAAAUGCCCCCGUAACUUCGGGAGAAGGGGGACCAUGCCCGGUGAACAUCUUCACGGUGGGAGCUGGGUGUGGUCGCAGAGACCAGAGAGAAGCGACUGUUUACUAAAAACACAGGUCCGUGCGAAGACGUAAGUCGAUGUAUACGGACUGACGCCUGCCCGGUGCUGGGAGGUUAAGAGGACCGGUUAGCCGUAAGGCGAAGCUGAGAAUUUAAGCCCCAGUAAACGGCGGUGGUAACUAUAACCAUCCUAAGGUAGCGAAAUUCCUUGUCGGGUAAGUUCCGACCUGCACGAAUGGCGUAACGACUUCUCUGCUGUCUCGACCACAGACUCGGCGAAAUUGCACUACGAGUAAAGAUGCUCGUUACGCGCGGCAGGACGAAAAGACCCCGGGACCUUUACUAUAGCUUGGUAUUGGCGUUCGAUUCGGUUUGUGUAGGAUAGGUGGGAGACUGUGAAGCAUGCACGCCAGUGUGUGUGGAGUCGUUGUUGAAAUACCACUCUGAUCGUAUUGGACGUCUAACCUCGGCCCAUGAUCUGGGUUAGGGACAGUGCCUGGUGGGUAGUUUAACUGGGGCGGUUGCCUCCUAAAGAGUAACGGAGGCGCCCAAAGGUUCCCUCAGCCUGGAUGGCAAUCAGGUGUUGAGUGCAAGUGCACAAGGGAGCUUGACUGUGAGACUAACACGUCGAGCAGGGACGAAAGUCGGGACUAGUGAUCCGGCACCGGCAAGUGGAAGCGGUGUCGCUCAACGGAUAAAAGGUACCCCGGGGAUAACAGGCUGAUCUUCCCCAAGAGUCCAUAUCGACGGGAUGGUUUGGCACCUCGAUGUCGGCUCGUCGCAUCCUGGGGCUGGAGUAGGUCCCAAGGGUUGGGCUUUCGCCCAUUAAAGCGGCACGCGAGCUGGGUUUAGAACGUCGUGAGACAGUUCGGUCUCUAUCCGCCGCGCGCGUAAGAAACUUGAGGAAGGCUGUCCCUAGUACGAGAGGACCGGGACGGACGAACCUCAGGUGUGCCAGUUGUUCCACCAGGAGCAUGGCUGGUUAGCUACGUUCGGAAGGGAUAACCGCUGAAAGCAUCUAAGCGGGAAGCCUGUUCCAAGAUGAGGUUUCUCACCACCUUGCGUGGUUAAGGCCCCCUACAGACCAUGGGGUUGAUAGGCCGGAACUGGAAGCGCAGCAAUGCGUGGAGGUGACCGGUACUAAUAGGCCGAGGGUU
rnacentral:rRNA from 1 species